AUGACCUACAGUAACGCCAACAAAGAGUGCUACCUGUGGCUCUCUACAGAGGCAUCCCGUAAUCCAGUAGCUUGGACAGCAAGGGCAUAUGAAGUUGUUUACAUGUCGUGUUCUGCUCUGCUCAAGCCUCCAGCAAGGCGCAUUGUGAGGAAACAGUGGAAAAUUUUCUUGCUGGGGUACUAUUUUGUUCACCCCUGGUCUGUCAUACUAAGCCCUAUGCAGUUUACACACUACACACCUGGCAGCAUCCCAUCCCCUGCUGCCGUCACUGGUACUACUUUGCAGAUCUAUUCAAUUAAGAUAAAGAAUCUGAAAGGCUUGAAUUGGCCAUUCAAAGUGUAUGGCAAGGUUGCUGCUCGAGACACUGUGGACCGCAACCGCAACAUUCUGUUCUCUCGGCCAAAGUUUGAUUAUCAAGAACUAAAUGGAGAAAAUGAUUCCUUAUGCUUGAUUGGCCCGUCUCGUGCGAUUGUUAGUUUUGACCAUGUCGACUUUGAAGUUGAACUCAAAGUAAUCGAUGAAGCUGAGUCGCAAAGAUUGAUUAUUUGUACAGGCCGUUACGGCGGUACAGAUGAUUUUAACACUUCCUCAGCCAGUGUGACUUAUGGUGGUGAUGGACCUACCUUCUUGCUCUCCAACCAUCGUUGUACAACUGAGUUAACACUUGAGCAGCUUCAUAAAUCGCACCAAGCUACUAUUGUGGGCAUACGAGUAACCAAAGGGGAUUGGCCUUUCAAACAUGGAUGUCGGGUCAUUUGCUUUUGGGCUCCUUCUUCUGCUGUAGAUGUGAUCGAUACCACUUGCAGGUCAAUUGUCUUGCUUGAUGAUCGUGACAAAGAAAUACAUUCAGGUUCAGGCAAGUAUCUUCACUUGUCGAGACGAGUGGUUUCAGUGAAAUCAUAUGGGAUUCUGAGAGUGACCAUAGAAGCAUACGGAGGGCCCGGUCAGUGUAUUGCACAAAAGGGGCAUGUUGACUUUCCUGUUAAGCAGUGCCAAACAACCGCGUUUGAUUGUGUACUUGGGGACACCACAUUGGAGGUGGUUGUAGCUUGGUCGUUGCUUAUCAAGGACAAAAUGGAUCUCCAGGUCCAAGCGGGGCAAUUUAAUGGAGAAAAGGCCGAGCCACGCGGUCCCGUCCUGUCCCGUCCGGAUGAACGCGGACCCCGGCCGGCCGGCGCACGCACGAAGAGGAAGUGCGCCAUGGCGGCGACGUGGACGGAUACCAUCACAACCAACCCGUUCACGUUGAGGAAGCGGUACACGUGCGCGAGCCCCGACUCCGGACGCACGCUAGCAGCUGCUUCCAGCAAUGAUGUUAUCCUGACCAAAUGUACACCUCAAAGUGCAGCAGCUGCUUCCUAA
rnacentral:rRNA from 1 species